rnacentral:rRNA from 1 species
AUUGAACGCUGGCGGAAUGCUUUACACAUGCAAGUCGAGCGGUUGAAGGGAGCUUGCUCCCUGAUUCAGCGACGGACGGGUGAGUAAUGCCUAGGAAUCUGCCUAUUAGUGGGGGACAACGUUUCGAAAGGAACGCUAAUACCGCAUACGUCCUACGGGAGAAAGCAGGGGACCUUCGGGCCUUGCGCUAAUAGAUGAGCCUAGGUCGGAUUAGCUUGUUGGUGAGGUAAUGGCUCACCAAGGCGAAGAUCCGUAACUGGUCUGAGGGGAUGAUCAGUCACACUGGAACUGAGACACGGUCCAGACUCCUACGGGAGGCAGCAGUGGGGAAUAUUGGACAAUGGGCGAAAGCCUGAUCCAGCCAUGCCGCGUGUGUGAAGAAGGUCUUCGGAUUGUAAAGCACUUUAAGUUGGGAGGAAGGGUUGUAGAUUAAUACUCUGCAAUUUUGACGUUACCGACAGAAUAAGCACCGGCUAACUCUGUGCCAGCCGCCGCCGUAACAC